rnacentral:rRNA from 1 species
CGCUGGCGGCGUGCUUAACACAUGCAAGUCGAACGAUGAAGCCUAGCUUGCUAGGUGGAUUAGUGGCGAACGGGUGAGUAAUACGUGAGUGACCUACCUUUGACUCUGGGAUAAGCCUGGGAAACUGGGUCUAAUACCGGAUACGACCAAUCUCCGCAUGGGGUGUUGGUGGAAAGCGUUAUGGAGUGGUUUUAGAUGGGCUCACGGCCUAUCAGCUUGUUGGUGAGGUAAUGGCUUACCAAGGCGACGACGGGUAGCCGGCCUGAGAGGGUGACCGGCCACACUGGGACUGAGACACGGCCCAGACUCCUACGGGAGGCAGCAGUGGGGAAUAUUGCACAAUGGGCGCAAGCCUGAUGCAGCGACGCCGCGUGAGGGAUGACGGCCUUCGGGUUGUAAACCUCUGUUAGCAUCGAAGAAGCGAAAGUGACGGUAGGUGCAGAGAAAGCGCCGGCUAACUACGCGCCAGCAGCCGCGGUAAUACGUAGGGCGCGAGCGUUGUCCGGAAUUAUUGGGCGUAAAGAGCUUGUAGGCGGUUGGUCGCGUCUGCUGUGAAGGCUGGGGCUUAACCCUGGUUUUGCAGUGGGUACGGGCUAACUAGAGUGCAGUAGGGGAGACUGGAAUUCCUGGUGUAGCGGUGGAAUGCGCAGAUAUCAGGAGGAACACCGAUGGCGAAGGCAGGUCUCUGGGCUGUAACUGACGCUGAGAAGCGAAAGCAUGGGGAGCGAACAGGAUUAGAUACCCUGGUAGUCCAUGCCGUAAACGUUGGGCACUAGGUGUGGGGGACAUUCCACGUUUUCCGCGCCGUAGCUAACGCAUUAAGUGCCCCGCCUGGGGAGUACGGCCGCAAGGCUAAAACUCAAAGAAAUUGACGGGGGCCCGCACAAGCGGCGGAGCAUGCGGAUUAAUUCGAUGCAACGCGAAGAACCUUACCAAGGCUUGACAUAUACUGGACUGCGUCAGAGAUGGCGUUUCCCUUCGGGGCUGGUAUACAGGUGGUGCAUGGUUGUCGUCAGCUCGUGUCGUGAGAUGUUGGGUUAAGUCCCGCAACGAGCGCAACCCUCGUUCUAUGUUGCCAGCACGUGAUGGUGGGGACUCAUAGGAGACUGCCGGGGUUAACUCGGAGGAAGGUGGGGAUGACGUCAAAUCAUCAUGCCCCUUAUGUCUUGGGCUUCACGCAUGCUACAAUGGCCGGUACAGAGGGUUGCGAUACUGUGAGGUGGAGCUAAUCCCUAAAAGCCGGUCUCAGUUCGGAUUGGGGUCUGCAACUCGACCCCAUGAAGUCGGAGUCGCUAGUAAUCGCAGAUCAGCAGCGCUGCGGUGAAUACGUUCCCGGGCCU